CACAUGCAAGUCGAACGGAACUUCGGGUUUAGUGGCGGACGGGUGAGUAACGCGUGAGGAUCUGCCUUUAGGUCGGGGACAACAGUUGGAAACGACUGCUAAUACCGGAUGUGCAGCAAUGUGAAAGAUUUAUUGCCUAGAGAUGAGCUCGCGUCUGAUUAGCUAGUAGGUGUGGUAAUGGCGCACCUAGGCGACGAUCAGUAACUGGUCUGAGAGGAUGACCAGUCACACUGGGACUGAGACACGGCCCAGACUCCUACGGGAGGCAGCAGUGGGGAAUUUUCCGCAAUGGGCGAAAGCCUGACGGAGCAAUACCGCGUGAGGGACGAAGGCUUUUGGGUCGUAAACCUCUUUUCCCUGAGAAGAAGAUCUGACGGUAUCAGGGGAAUCAGCAUCGGCUAACUUCGUGCCAGCAGCCGCGGUAAUACGAGGGAUGCAAGCGUUAUCCGGAAUUAUUGGGCGUAAAGCGUCCGCAGGUGGCUCUGUAAGUCUGUCGUUAAAGAAUGGGGCUCAACCCCAUACAGGCGAUGGAAACUACCAGGCUAGAGUUUGGUAGGGGUCACGGGAAUUCCUAGUGUAGCGGUGAAAUGCGUAGAUAUUAGGAAGAACACCAGCGGCGAAAGCGCGUGACUGGGCCAGUACUUGACACUCAUGGACGAAAGC
rnacentral:rRNA from 1 species